rnacentral:tmRNA from 1 species
GGGGGCGAUCGGCUUCGACGUGGGGACUGAAGGUUUGUCUGCGUGCUGGCGGCUCCUGCUCCGCCUAUCAAGCGGGACGUAUAGUUGCGAACGACAACGCGCUUGCUCUCGCGGCCUAAGAACCGCUGAGCCGUCCGAAGGGGAGAUCGUCCUGGUACCCUGAGGGUGACAACCACAAGGGCUGGAUCGCGCGAGGGCGCCCUCGAUAGCGCGGUCGAGAUAAGUGAGGGAUAGGUCGCGGCCGAAUCCGCGGGCCCUGUCGCUGGGGUUAAUCGGCGACUACGCACGUGAACGAAGAUAAGCUGGACGCCUUGCGGACCCGGGUUCGAUUCCCGGCGCCUCCACUG